UACGUAGGGUGCGAGCGUUGUCCGGAAUUAUUGGGCGUAAAGAGCUCGUAGGCGGUCUGUCGCGUCUGCUGUGAAAUCCCGAGGCUCAACCUCGGGCUUGCAGUGGGUACGGGCAGGCUAGAGUGCGGUAGGGGAGAAUGGAACUCCUGGUGUAGCGGUGAAAUGCGCAGAUAUCAGGAAGAACACCCGUGGCUAAGGCGGCUCUCUAGUACGGUACUGACGCUGAGACGCGAAAGCGUGGGGAGCGAACAGG
rnacentral:rRNA from 1 species